rnacentral:tRNA from 1 species
GUCCUCGUAGUCUAACGGAUAAAACAGGGGCUUCCGGAGCCUCAGUUGUGGGUUCGAUUCCCGCCGGGGACA